GUGAACGCUGGCGGCAGGCCUAACACAUGCAAGUCGAACGGCAGCACAAGAGAGCUUGCUCUCUGGGUGGUGAGUGGCGGACGGGUGAGGAAUGCAUCGGAAUCUGCCCAUUUGUGGGGGAUAACCUCGGGAAACCGGGACUAAUACCGCAUACGACCUACGGGUGAAAGCAGGGGAUCUUCGGACCUUGCGCAGAUGGAUGAGCCGAUGCCGGAUUAGCUAGUUGGAGGGGUAAAGGCCCACCAAGGCGACGAUCCGUAGCUGGUCUGAGAGGAUGAUCAGCCACACUGGGACUGAGACACGGCCCAGACUCCUACGGGAGGCAGCAGUGGGGAAUAUUGGACAAUGGGCGCAAGCCUGAUCCAGCCAUGCCGCGUGUGUGAAGAAGGCCUUCGGGUUGUAAAGCACUUUUGUUGGGAAAGAAAAGCAGCCGGUUAAUACCCGGUUGUCAUGACGGUACCCAAAGAAUAAGCACCGGCUAACUUCGUG
rnacentral:rRNA from 1 species